AUUGAACGCUGGCGGCAUGCCUAACACAUGCAAGUCGAACGGCAGCGCGGGAAAGCUUGCUUUCCUGGCGGCGAGUGGCGGACGGGUGAGUAAUACUUAGGAAUCUGCCCAAUAGUGGGGGGACAACUCGGGGAAACUCGAGCUAAUACCGCAUACGACCUACGGGUAAAAGCAGGGGACUCUUCGGAGCCUUGCGCUAUUGGAUGAGCCUAAGUCGGAUUAGCUAGUUGGUAGGUAAAGCCUACCAAGGCGACGAUCCGUAGCUGGUCUGAGAGGACGAUCAGCCACACUGGGACUGAGACACGGCCCAGACUCCUACGGGUGGCAG
rnacentral:rRNA from 1 species